UGGCCUCACAAGUCAGAGCUGAGGAGUGAGGACUGGGGCUGGGAGAUGGGUCCUUCUGUGCACCAAGCAGGGUAUUAGUUCACCUGCCAAUUCAUCUUUAAGGGGAUGAACAACCAAUACAUCCGACAAGAAGUCUUUUGCUGUGAAACUUGUCACGAGCUCAAAAGCUUCUGGGAAAAAGAAAUUAGCAAACAGACUUACUACUGGGAGCUGGAGGAAGAUCGUCAGGGAAGGAGUGCCCUGAGGAAGCUCAGAGAAGGAUGGAAGCGGAGACUGGAGGAGAGACUGCGGAUGCUGGACCAUCCUGAGGAGAAGCCCCAGGAGGCAAACACUGUGGGCUGACAGCCUCCUGCCUCCUUCACUUCACAGACAACAAGCCAAGGGCACUUUCUAGGAGAUAAACGGAUGCUUCCUUUCUGUCCACUUACUGAGCAGGACACUCAGUUUGCUCUCCCAUUUACAUGCGAGUCCUUCCUGUGCU